AUACCCAACUACGAAAAAGAGUGAGGACAUUCUCCACCUACUAAUGAGGCACACUCAUCAAGGUGGUGGACAGAUAGUGCACGACAUUCUGUGUAAAAAAGAGGAGAACAGGAAUCUAUAUCUGUAUUUGCUUGUAUUUCCAUAAAGAAACUCUGGAAGAAUCUAUAAGAAACUAAAAUCAGCGUUUCUGAGGAGAGGGAGGGCUGUAGGAACUAGUAAUGGGAAAUAAGGAAAAGAGAGAUUCGCACAGUCCACGGGCUCAUAUUUUUUAAUUGUGAGCUGUGAAAAUGUAUUACUUGUCCAAAAUUAAAUACUACAAGGAAAUUAUCAUGUAAAGCAUGAUCACAACCAAAAAUAAAAUUAUACCCUGAGCACAAGAGUCAUUCCUUCGAAUGACAGAUGUGCUUUUAACUUUGUUUUGACAAGAUAAGAGGCGUGCAUCAGACUCAAACAUUUCAAGAUAAGGUGAGUCAUAGAAACACACAAAGUGCUGGACUAAGAAGGCGAUGUGACCAAGUAACAUGAAGAGUGUGCCUACGGCACUGGCUGCCGGAGAACCAGCCGACCCCCAAACUAUGAGAAAUUUGGCACAAAGUAUUGUUGUGCAGCCAUGCUGACCAUCCAACUCCAGAACAUAUCAUCUCCCCAAACGGAAACUCUGUCCCCACAAACCACCAGCUCCUCAUUUCCUCUCUCCCAGCUCCGGUGACGUCUAUUCUACCUUCUGUCUUUAUAAAUGUGUCCAUUCUACACCUCGUGGCUUUGCCACAUCUCAUUUACCCAACUCACCUGCUGAGGGACCCUCGAUGUUUCCACGUUUGAGCUGCUCUGAAUAAUGCUGCUGUGAACAUGAGUUUGCAACUAUCCAAGUCUCUGCCUUCAGAUGUCCUGUCUCCCUAGACUAGUGAUGGCGAACCUAUGACACGCAUUUCAGAGGUGACACGCGAACUCAUUUUUUUUGGUUGAUUUUUCUUUG